GAUGAACGCUGGCGGCGUGCCUAAUACAUGCAAGUCGAGCGAACAGACGAGGAGCUUGCUCCUUUGACGUUAGCGGCGGACGGGUGAGUAACACGUGGGUAACCUACCUAUAAGACUGGGAUAACUUCGGGAAACCGGAGCUAAUACCGGAUAAUAUUUCGAACCGCAUGGUUCGAUAGUGAAAGAUGGCUUUGCUAUCACUUAUAGAUGGACCUGCGCCGUAUUAGCUAGUUGGUAAGGUAACGGCUUACCAAGGCAACGAUACGUAGCCGACCUGAGAGGGUGAUCGGCCACACUGGAACUGAGACACGGUCCAGACUCCUACGGGAGGCAGCAGUAGGGAAUCUUCCGCAAUGGGCGAAAGCCUGACGGAGCAACGCCGCGUGAGUGAUGAAGGUCUUCGGAUCGUAAAACUCUGUUAUUAGGGAAGAAUAAAUGUGUAAGUAACUGUGCACGUCUUGACGGUACCUAAUCAGAAAGCCACGGCUAACUACGUG
rnacentral:rRNA from 1 species